rnacentral:rRNA from 1 species
CCUACGGGUGGCAGCAGUGAGGAAUAUUGGUCAAUGGCCGGAAGGCUGAACCAGCCAAGUCGCGUGAGGGAAUAAGGCCCUAUGGGUCGUAAACCUCUUUUGUCAGGGAGCAAAGGCGUCCACGUGUGGACGAGAGGAGAGUACCUGCAGAAAAAGCAUCGGCUAACGCCGUGCCAGCAGCCGCGGUAAUACGGAGGAUGCGAGCGUUAUCCGGUUUUAUGGGGUUUAAAGGGUGCGUAGGCGGAGGGUCAAGUCAGGGGUAAAGUUUCGGGGCGAAACCCCGUCGUGCCGUUGAAACUGACGCCCUUGAGAGAGUGAGAGGUAAGCGGAAUGCGUGGUGUAGCGGUGAAAUGCAUAGAUAUCACGCAGAACGCCGAUUGCGAAGGCAGCUUACCGGCGCUCAACUGACGCUGAGGCACGAAAGUGCGGGUAUCGAACAGGAUUAGAUACCCGGGUAGUC